rnacentral:rRNA from 1 species
GAUGAACGCUGGCGGCGUGCCUAAUACAUGCAAGUCGAACGCUUCACUUCGGUGAAGAGUGGCGAACGGGUGAGUAAUACAUAAGUAACCUGGCAUCUACAGGGGGAUAACUGAUGGAAACGUCAGCUAAGACCGCAUAGGUGUAGAGAUCGCAUGAACUCUAUAUGAAAAGUGCUACGGGACUGGUAGAUGAUGGACUUAUGGCGCAUUAGCUUGUUGGUAGGGUAACGGCCUACCAAGGCGACGAUGCGUAGCCGACCUGAGAGGGUGACCGGCCACACUGGGACUGAGAAACGGCCCAGACUCCUACGGGAGGCAGCAGUAGGGAAUUUUCGGCAAUGGGGGAAACCCUGACCGAGCAACGCCGCGUGAAGGAAGAAGUAAUUCGUUAUGUAAACUUCUGUCAUAGAGGAAGAACGGUGGAUAUAGGGAAUGAUAUCCAAGUGACGGUACUCUAUAAGAAAGCCACGGCUAACUACGUG